CGGAACUACGUGUGUAACCUGCCUUUAGUCUGGGGGAUAGCCUUUCGAAAGGAAGAUUAAUACUCCAUAAUAUAUUGAACGGCAUCGUUAAUAUUGAAAGCUCCGGCGGAUAGAGAUGGGCACGCGCAAGAUUAGCUAGUUGGUGAGGUAACGGCUCACCAAGGCGAUGAUCUUUAGGGGCCUGAGAGGGUGAUCCCCCACACUGGUACUGAGACACGGACCAGACUCCUACGGGAGGCAGCAGUGAGGAAUAUUGGUCAAUGGGUGCAAGCCUGAACCAGCCAUCCCGCGUGAAGGACGACUGCCCUAUGGGUUGUAAACUUCUUUUGUAUAGGGAUAAACCUACCCUCGUGAGGGUAGCUGAAGGUACUAUACGAAUAAGCACCGGCUAACUCCGUG
rnacentral:rRNA from 1 species